rnacentral:misc_RNA from 1 species
GUAUAUUAAGUUUAAUCAAGCAUUCUGAACUUUUAUAACAGGGUGUAUUAAAAAACAUAGACAUGUCACUGCCUACAAAGGUGCACAGGUGUAAAGAUUUGGACAAGAGGUGUGCACAUAUCUCGAAAGAUCAGCUACAACCCCUUCAAAAAUUCAAUAAUGAUCCUUCCGCAGGUUCACCUACGGAAA